rnacentral:ribozyme from 1 species
AAAGUGAAGGGAAGAGAAGUGCGAAAAAAAAAAAAAGAAGGAAAAAUGAGCACAUUGAAGUCCAAUUUUGAUGCGAGCUGGUCGGCCCAGCCCUUCUUUAUUCGAUU